UGGGAAUUUAAUUAUUGACUUUUUUUCAAUUUAAUUGUCAUAUUUCAAAUAUAAGAUCAAUUCGUAGUUGCGAGCUUUAAUUUCAAAUAUUGUCAUCACAGGCGCUUGUAUAUAGAAUUAAUAUAUCGAGUGUGUCGUUGUUUGCACUGAAUAUUCAAUUGUCUAAUACUUCUAGUUUGGAGUAAAUUCGCUAGCUCCGAUACAAUCGCUUAUUUC
rnacentral:lncRNA from 1 species